rnacentral:tRNA from 1 species
GGCAGGGUAGCCCAGUUGGUUAGAGCAGCGGAUCCAUAAUCCGCAUGUCGUGGGUUCAAGUCCCACCCCUGCCA